UGAGCGUUCUUGACGCACCCAAGCUAACGUUGGCUAGCUACUUCCAGACACAAAUGAGACCACUCUGACCAUUUUACUCGCCCUAUCAGAGCUGGUAAGGUAGUGUUCGUGUUAACCAUAGCGUAAAUGUAAUGCUGGAAAAAAAAUGAUUAUGCUUUUUCCCCCCGAGUUUACUGACACGGCCAUAUUCAAAGAGUGUUGAGCGCUCAUAAAUUAAUUAUUUUGCGCUUUGAUACACUCAGACUAGAGUGCUCUGAAAUUUGUGUAGAUAUUAGGCUGGACACAUUACAUUUGUAACGUUCUUUUCGGAUAAAAAUAUGUUCAUUCCAUCCGCCGUGGAGCCCAGUUUCAUACUAUCACCAUAUUUCCCAGCUGCUUGCUGUCGUUUUGAAGUAAUCGCGAAAAAACAGGCCUUAUUUUCAUGCAUUUUUCCCCCUGCCAGCUCCUAUUAGUUGUAUUGGGCACCGUGGCACCAACUCGCCUUCUGGACGUUCUAUUCCUAGCUUAUUGUUCAACGUCACAAUGCCUGCGUCACUAUUGUUGGCAAUGAGACCUGCUCAGUUGUUUAUUAGUUAAAAUGUAAACAACAAAAUGUAAAUAACAAAAAUAAUAUUGGAACUCUGCGGUCUUCCCAUUGUUUCCUAUGGGGGAAAUAUGGGCAUGUCUGUCUAUUUCUCCAAAUAUCUCGCAAUGUUUAUAUUUAGUAUUUUUUUCAAGUCGGUGUGAAAUGACAAGCUAGUUAGUGGGGUGCGCACUAAUAGUGGUUCAAUCGGUGACGUCACUGAGAGCUGGGGCUUUUGUGGAGCGAUGGGUAACGAUGCUUCGAGGGUGGCUGUUGUCUAUGUGUGCAGAGGGUCUCUGGUUCGAGGCGAGGAGAGGGACGGAAGCAAAACUGUUACACGGGCACCAUUUUAAUCAGGAGUUUCCCCUCGUUGUAAUUAUGUAAGUCUGACCAGCGAGCUCGUUUGUCAUCGCUCGCUAGACCAGAAAUGGUCCGAAGUUAUACUUUUUUCCCGUACUUUUUCUUUAUGCAGACAUAAGCACAGUUGACACCAUCGAGGUGCGGAUGUUUACUUUCUACACAAGUUUUUUUUUUUUUCCAGUUUCGUCCGACGAAGAUUGUAGUGGUAAAAUUAAAAGGUCCGCAGUAGAGGUGGACAGCGACACAUCAUCACAGUUGGGGUCAAAGACAUCUCCUCCCCCAGCGAGCAGAACCAGACGACAGAAGAUGUUGGCACCAGAGAGGAGAGGCGGGACACGCGCUCUGGCAGCCAUGUUGUGUGGAUCUAAAAGACGUAGAAGAAGAAGGAAGAGAAGCUGAAGACCCAGAAGCAACAAACUGCUCAACUAACUUUCUACCAAGGCCAGCGGCCAGCCAAAGCAGGGGCUGGGAAGGGUCAUGGGGGUAAGACUAAGCCGGGAAAUAGUUUCACGUAUGGGCAAUCCAGAAAUAUCUCAGCUCCAUAUCCUCAAGCAUUUCAGACUGGAGUUCAGACGGGUGGAAGAGGUCGAGGCAGGGGUGGACCAAGAGGCGGCGAGGACAUGGGCCAACAGGAGCUCCAGGACUGUGGCAUCCCCCUGCCUAUCAGCCUCCACCCCAAUGGGGGCCCUCAGGGAAGAGGCCAGCCUGGGCAAUGGCAGACGGGGCAUCGGCACAGAUGACCUUGUACAAUCCAGGUCCAGGCCAGGACAGGAGGAGGAAUAUUGACAUGAAUGCGAGACAGGGACAGUUGUGUUAGAAUCGUCAGAGCAACCAGAGCAUUUGUUUUUAAAAAGUCACACCCUUCCUCGAAUUGAGCCAACAGUGGAGGCUUGCGUCAAUGGUGAGUCAAUGAUUUUUCUUGCUGAUACUGGGGCUGCAAUGUCUGUGAUGAACUGUAAGACUAUGAAAAAACAUCCCAUGUCUAGUGAAACAGUCAAGACUGUUGGGGCAUUGGGUCUCCCCUUCAGGGAACACGUAACAAUGCCCUUGCCAGUCUCCUUUUGUGAGGAGAAAUGUCAGCAUCAAUUCCUCUUCUCUGAUCACUGCCCUUUCAAUCUAAUGGGCAGAAACAUCCUAUGUAAGCUGGGAAUUAACAUAACGUGUGGGCCCACUAGGCUGACAGUAAUACAUGAGGAGGAGGAGGAGCAAUUGAUGUUGAUGUCUGAGUUCUGUGACUGGUAUUAUGCGUAGAACGUUAACAAUGAGGUGCCCAAUAUUGCUCGUCUUUUCUCAAUGGCCAAAACCAAUUGGGGCCACAAGGGCAGUUUCAUGUCUGAGACAGGCUUACAUUGCAUUUCCAAUUUCUCACCAUUGACAAGAGAUUUACACUAUGAGAAGGAAUGGUUCUCCAAGAGUAUAGGUGAAGAGUCAGUGCUGUUUGAGGGCUUGUACUGUAGCAGCAAUGUCUGUGCUUUAGGGGUUAAUUUAACCCCUGCACAGAAGGAGCUCUACUUGUUCGAAGACAGUGCUCCUCAUGUGUCCCUUGCUAAAUCACACAGAGUUGAGUGGACGGAUGCUGGAUGAAGGGGCUGGGGAAUGCUGUUGAUUGGGAAAUGCAUCCAGAUGGGUCAACCUAUUCACCCAGCACAUUAACGCUUUGGGAUACGCCCGUUGACAGGGGUGUGCAUGGACUUCAUCUCAUCAGCCCUCAUUUGUCAGCAACAUCAUGCUUUUGAAUGAGGACUCACCCCUCUUGAGAGGGGUCCCCGAUUGCCUAUGGGCAAGGGACAAGUAUGAUUUUGGUCGAAUGAAAGGGGCUGAGCCACUUGUGGUGACUGCUAAAGACACCAGGCACCCCUCCAGAGCACAGUAUCCACUCAGUAAAGAAGAUAUUGCUGGUAUUACCCAGGUACAUGCUUCUUUGCUAGAGCAUGGAGGGUUAGUCCUGUGUCCAGAGUCACCUUGUAAUACCCCUAUCUUGCCUGUAAGAAAAGCCUCAGGGGAAUGGUGUUUUGUUCAAGAUUUAAGGCCAGUUAAUGAUGCUGUCUUUGCCCAUGCCCCUGUGGUUCCCAAUCCAACUACGUUGUUAUCUGCAGUCCCAGCCGCAGCUAAUUGGUGUUCUGUUAUUGAUCUGGCUAAUGUGUUUUUUAGCAUUCCCGUUGAACCAGAGUCACAGUUCUGGUUUGCUUUCACGUUCCUCGGAAAGAGUUACACUGAGUCCCCGGCAAUUUCUUCAGCUGCACUAGCACAACAUUUGAAGGGCUUCAUUACCCCGGAGGGGAGCACUCUAAUAAAGUACUUUGAUGACUUGUUAUUGUGCUCUGAAACUCUUGAGGCGGGUGAAACUGAUACUCAAGCUCUUUUGACCUUUCUGGCAGAGAACUGCCAAAAAGUAUCAAAAAAUAAGUUGCAACUUGUCUCCCAAACUGUAAAGUAUUUGGGGGUGAUAUCACCCCCAAUGGCAGGCAGCUGGGUCCAGAGAGAGUGCAAACUAUCCUGUCUGUCCCACAGCCUGUUACCAGACACCACAUUAUGUCACUGACUGGUAUGGCAGGGUACAGUAGGGUGUGGCUGCCUGACUAUGCUCAUUGAGGGUGAAAGUGUUUGCUUUCACAUCCUCCUCAGAUACCACUCACAGUCUUUUUGACCUCAGUCACCUGGGGCCCAGAGAGGUGAGAAGUCAGGCUUGUUCAUCACAUGUCCCUGUUGCUGUGGAGAGUAGCUGAAAGAGAACAUGGCAAAAUAGGUCAGAAGGGAACAUUGUUUCUAUAUGUGAAUGUGUAUCUAAUAUGAACCAAGGGAUGGCGUGAUUGUAGGAACCAAUAACAUUCUUUCACAGUUUCUCUGUCAGCACUCCUCCACCCUCUGGCCCAGGGGGAGGGAUUAAGUCCCUUUUGGUCCACUUAGCAAGGUGGAGACUAGUAACAAUAUAUGUCCUUUUAUGUUCUUAGUACUGAACAAAACAACAAGUUAUUUAUACUGGAGGCCAAGUGCUGUCACAGGAUGUGUGGGGUUAGUGGUUGGAACAACACGUCCCCCUGGAGGUUACACCCAUCUUUGUUCUGAUAGUGAGCCUCUGAUAACCCAGAAGCUCACGCCACUCAGUGAGGUCUCACUCUAUUCACGUUGUAUGUGUAUUGUGACUUGCUCCCUUAUCAAUACAUUUUUAAUAAAGUAACAAUCCUGAUUGGUGGUUGACCUUGUCUCUCCACAUUAUUGAUUAUAAUAUCAACGACACAGUCAGGGAGACUGCUGAGAUAGAAUCAGGGUCAGAGGUCAGCUUUGGGUACAAUUUCCUAAAUCUGUAACGAUACAAUUUCCUGAAUACAAUUUCCUGAAUACAAUUUCCUAAAUCUCUGACGAAACUGAAACAUCUCAUGACUACUUCUCCAUGUCUGGAGAUCCCUGACCAUUCUAAACCCUUUCACCUGCUUGUGUAUGAAAAAAGGGGUUGUAUUUCGUUUGUGUUGACACAGGACCAUGGGGGGAAUCAGAGAUCAUUCUGAGCAAUUAGAUAGUGUUGCUAAAGGCCUAGUGUGCUGUUUUGUGCUGACAUUGUUGCAAUGUGUCAACUAACUGUGCAUGUGCCUCACACUGUUCAUGCUCUCAUCUUACAGGCUAAGACUGCUCAUCUGACUCCAGCAAGGCUGCUCCUCUAUCAGUAUGUGCUUCUUAAUAUGUCUCAUGUGACCCUGAAAAGAGCUUGUAUCAAAACCAAGGCAAUGCAAUGGUUGAUCUAGCAGGAAAAACAGCAGCUGUGUGCUGCUGAUUCUCCUGUGUUGCAGAUGGUUUUACUGGACCGUUCCAGGUGUUGCUGACAACCCUCACCGCUGUCUGAGUAGCUAUAGAGGUCUACGUGGCUCCACGCCAGCCACUGCAGGAAUGUUCCAUACCACCAGGGGGAUGAUGGACUUCAGGAUGGCACAGGGUAGUCGUCGAGGGACUAGAUGGCCAGGGGAGAGCCAAGCUGAGACUCUGCACAUCAUGGUGUUUGCCUUUGUUCUUAUCGCUCUCGUUACAGUUGCCAUAUGGACGGUGGUGACUGAAGAGGUGCCAAACAAUGAACUGAAUGGAAAGGCUGGACUGUACAAGAUGUGGACCCAGUGGACUGUACCAGAUGCCAGAGAGAUAGAUGACUGUCCUAUUUGAUGUGAUGAGGCGUGUGUCUAGCAAUCUGUAUUUUUUGUUUCUGAUUUCUAUUUUUUCAAAUUGUGAUAAUGUCCUGAGGAAUAAAGGGUGUAAACUCAG